GUUGUAUGGUUAAGUGACUAAGCGUACACGGUGGAUGCCUUGGCAGUCAGAGGCGAUGAAAGGCGUAAUAACUUGCGAUAAGCCCAGAUUAGGUAGUAAUAACCUUUUGAGUCUGGGAUUCCUGAAUGGGGAAACCCACUUACAUAAGUAAGUAUCCUGUUGUGAAUACAUAGCAACAGGAGGCAAACCGGGGGAACUGAAACAUCUAAGUACCCCGAGGAAGAGAAAUCAACCGAGAUUCCGAAAGUAGCGGCGAGCGAAAUUGGAUUAGCCCUUAAGCUUUUAAUGAUGCAGGUGAAGAGUCUGGAAAGUCUCGCAACAAAGGGUGAUAGCCCCGUAACCGACACAUCAUAAUCAGUGAAAACGAGUAGGGCGGGACACGUGAUAUCCUGUCUGAAUAUGGGGGGACCAUCCUCCAAGGCUAAAUACUACUGACUGACCGAUAGUGAACCAGUACCGUGAGGGAAAGGCGAAAAGAACCCCUGUGAGGGGAGUGAAAUAGAACCUGAAACCGUGUACGUACAAGCAGUAGGAGCACCUUCGUGGUGUGACUGCGUACCUUUUGUAUAAUGGGUCAGCGACUUAAUUUUAGUAGCAAGGUUAACCGUUUAGGGGAGCCGUAGGGAAACCGAGUCUUAACUGGGCGUACAGUUGCUAGGAUUAGACCCGAAACCAGGUGAUCUAGCCAUGGGCAGGUUGAAGGUUGAGUAACAUCAACUGGAGGACCGAACCGACUAAUGUUGAAAAAUUAGCGGAUGACUUGUGGCUAGGGGUGAAAGGCCAAUCAAACCUGGAGAUAGCUGGUUCUCCCCGAAAGCUAUUUAGGUAGCGCCUCGGACGAAUACUACUGGGGGUAGAGCACUGUUAAGGCUAGGGGGUCAUCCCGACUUACCAACCCUUUGCAAACUCCGAAUACCAGUAAGUACUAUCCGGGAGACACACGGCGGGUGCUAACGUCCGUCGUGGAGAGGGAAACAACCCAGACCGCCAGCUAAGGUCCCAAAGUAUAGCUAAGUGGGAAACGAUGUGGGAAGGCUCAGACAGCCAGGAUGUUGGCUUAGAAGCAGCCAUCAUUUAAAGAAAGCGUAAUAGCUCACUGGUCGAGUCGGCCUGCGCGGAAGAUGUAACGGGGCUAAGCUAUACACCGAAGCUGCGGCUACGUACCUUAGGGUAUGUGGGGUAGGGGAGCGUUCUGUAAGCCGUUGAAGGUGGUCUGUAAGGGCUGCUGGAGGUAUCAGAAGUGCGAAUGCUGACAUGAGUAACGAUAAAGGGAGUGAAAAACUCCCUCGCCGGAAGACCAAGGGUUCCUGUCCAACGUUAAUCGGGGCAGGGUAAGUCGACUCCUAAGGCGAGGCCGAAAGGCGUAGUCGAUGGGAAACGGGUUAAUAUUCCCGUACUUCUUACAAUUGCGAUGGGGGGACGGAGAAGGCUAGGUGGGCCUGGCGACGGUUGUCCAGGUUCAAGUACGUAGGCGGGUGGUUUAGGUAAAUCCGGACCGCUACUAACGCUGAGAUACGAUGUCGAGCUACUACGGUAGUGAAGUCAUUGAUGCCAUGCUUCCAGGAAAAGCCUCUAAGCUUCAGAUUGUAAGGAAUCGUACCCCAAACCGACACAGGUGGUCGGGUAGAGAAUACCAAGGCGCUUGAGAGAACUCGGGUGAAGGAACUAGGCAAAAUGGUACCGUAACUUCGGGAGAAGGUACGCUCUUAUCAGUGAAGUCCCUUGCGGAUGGAGCAGACGAGAGUCGCAGAUACCAGGUGGCUGCAACUGUUUAUUAAAAACACAGCACUGUGCAAAAUCGUAAGAUGACGUAUACGGUGUGACGCCUGCCCGGUGCCGGAAGGUUAAUUGAUGGGGUUAGACUUCGGUCGAAGCUCUUGAUCGAAGCCCCGGUAAACGGCGGCCGUAACUAUAACGGUCCUAAGGUAGCGAAAUUCCUUGUCGGGUAAGUUCCGACCUGCACGAAUGGCGUAAUGAUGGCCACGCUGUCUCCACCCGAGACUCAGUGAAAUUGAAAUCGCUGUGAAGAUGCAGUGUACCCGCGGCUAGACGGAAAGACCCCGUGAACCUUUACUACAGCUUGGCACUGAACAUUGAACCUACAUGUGUAGGAUAGGUGGGAGACUUUGAAACCGCGUCGCUAGAUGUGGUGGAGUCGUCCUUGAAAUACCACCCUUGUAGUUUUGAUGUUC
rnacentral:rRNA from 1 species